rnacentral:rRNA from 1 species
UACGAAGGGGGCUAGCGUUGUUCGGAAUCACUGGGCGUAAAGGGCGCGUAGGCGGCCUGAUAAGUCGGGGGUGAAAGCCUGUGGCUCAACCACAGAAUUGCCUUCGAUACUGUUAGGCUUGAGACCGGAAGAGGUAAGUGGAACUGCGAGUGUAGAGGUGAAAUUCGUAGAUAUUCGGAAGAACACCAGUGGCGAAGGCGACUUACUGGACGAUUGUUGACGCUGAGGUGCGAAAGCGUGGGGAGCAACAGGA